rnacentral:lncRNA from 1 species
GCUGUCUGUGGGGCGGGGCCUGAGGGGGUUGGGGUCAGGGCCUGUCAGCUCACUGGGCCAUGCCUAGUAGAUCCACCCUUUCCCAUCUACAGAUGCUCGUACUUACCCAGGUUCCGGGGCACGCGCGGGGCAGCCCCCGCCUUCCAGAGAACGGCGGCUCCUCUUGCCCUCCUCAGAAGAAGGCUUUCGUCGUUCCCGCCGCCCACCAGCGCCUGGGGCUUCUUCGAUGUCUCCAUCCUCCAAUUUCAGGGCGUUCUAGCAGAGGCGGACCAGGAUGUAAGAAAGUGGUUAACGUGUAUGCAGGUGGGGUGGGGCGCUGGGGACUGCGCUUCUCUCUUCCCUCUUUCCAAUCCGCCUCAGAGCGUAAGGCCCGGCCCACCUCGUAGAGCACAAGCUGCGUGCGCAGGUCGACGUCAGUGCCCGCAGUGCCCAGGUGGCGCUGGACCAGCGCUUCCAUGCCCUGCUGCUCCAGUGCAUCCGUCACAUCGUAGAAGGAGUCCUGGUCCGGGAGCGCCGCCAGCGUCUGGAGGGCGGGGAUAAGAAGGAUGGACACCAGAUUGGCCCAGGGAGGAGCACCUGCCACACAGAAAGUGGAGCAGUCAUGGGGGAACAGGUAGGAGAGAGGGCUCUGAGCGGUGGGGGGAGAAAGGGACAGUCUCUGACCGGUGGUGCUGGCCACAGAGUUCACUGCACGGAUGAACAGCGGUGCGUUGUUUUCGGAGUAUUCUACAAACACCAACAGCAGCUUCAGGGCUGUCUUCACCACCAAGCGGGACUGAGGAGAGAGGUCAGUACAUAUGAGUGGGGCUUAGGCCAGACCUGUGCCAGCUGUUGCUGGGGAAGGGGAAGGGCUGCUGGGGCUGGACCCAGAGAGAAUCUAGGCAGAAUGACCCUGGCCCCAGGCCCAGGCACUGAAGUGCCUUAUAGGCUUACAGAGGCCUCAGACUCACUCCCUUCCAGCUCACUUUGCAGAACAGGAAACUGAGGCCCAGAGAGAAGCAACAGGCAAAGGGUAUAAGGCUGAGUGGAGAGCCACUUACCAGGCUGGCACACAAUGUGUACAGCCACUGAAUAGUGUCACUGUGGGCCACCACCCCCAGCAUUCCAUCCACAAAGAGCAUCAGCUGGCCGAGCGCUGGGGAAACAGGGAUGGGCAGAGUCAGCGAGGGUCGCUGGAGCAGAGGUCAUGGGAGAGGGGCGGGGCUGACCUCUAAGGAUGUAGCUCUGGUAGUUGUGGUCGGCAGCAGCACCCACACGGAUCAGGCAGCUCAGCCCCUCUGAAUGCACAAAUUCAGGCACCAGGUCUUUGUCCUCCUAGAGGCACCAUGGGGGAGUUUAGGGAAGCUUGGGCUACACACUUACCCCCAGCCCACUGCGGGGCCUCACCUGGAAGAUCUGCUUCAGUGAGAAGAGGGAGCGGCGGAGCUCAGGACCACUGGAGCUAUACAGCUUUUCUGCAAAAGGUAGGGUAUAAAACCCUUGAUGGACACAGACUCACUGUCUUCCUCUGCUUGGAUACAAC